rnacentral:rRNA from 1 species
AUUGAACGCUGGCGGCAUGCUUUACACAUGCAAGUCGAACGGUAACAGGCCUUCGGGUGCUGACGAGUGGCGCACGGGUGAGUAAUGCAUCGGAACGUACCCAGAGGUGGGGGAUAACGCAGCGAAAGCUGUGCUAAUACCGCAUGUGAUCUGAGGAUGAAAGCGGGGGACCGAGCAGCAAUGUUUGGCCUCGCGCCUUUGGAGCGGCCGAUGUCGGAUUAGCUAGUUGGUGGGGUAAAGGCCUACCAAGGCGACGAUUCGUAGCUGGUCUGAGAGGACGACCAGCCACACUGGGACUGAGACACGGCCCAGACUCCUACGGGAGGCAGCAGUGGGGAAUUUUGGACAAAGGGCGCAAGCCUGAUCCAGCAAUGCCGCGUGCGGGAAGAAGGCCUUCGGGUUGUAAACCGCUUUUGGCAGGAACGAAACGGUGUCCGCUAAUACCGGGCGCUAAUGACGGUACCUGCAGAAUAAGCACCGGCUAACUACGUG